GGAGAGUGUGAGUAUACUCAGUCAUGACGUACCGCAGAGAGCACGCUACUCGUGCAGCAGCGCGUAUACGAGGUGCAGCGUAUCGAUACUGGCGUAAGCGCACGCAGCGGUCUGUCAAGUCGAUGUGAAAUCCCGGGCUCACCUGGGAACUGCAUCGAAACUGGCAGGCUAGAGUCUGUAGAGGGGGGGUAGAAUCCAGGUGUAGCGGUGAAAUGCUGUAGAAAAUUCCGAGGAUACGGUGGCGAAGGCGGCCCCCUGGACAAAGACUGACGCUCAGGUGCGAAAGCGUGGGAGCAAACCCAGAUUAGAUACCCUGGUAGUCACGCCGUAAACGAUGUCGACUUGGAGGUUGUGCCCUGAGGCGUGGCUUCCGGAGCUAACGCGUUAAGUCGACCGCCUGGGGAGUACGGCCGCAAGGUUAAAACUCAAAUGAAUUGACGGGGGCCCGCACAAGCGGUGGAGCAUGUGGUUUAAUUCGAUGCAACGCGAAGAACCUUACCUACUCUUGACAUCCAGAGAACUUUCCAGAGAUGGAUUGGUGCCUUCGGGAACUCUGAGACAGGUGCUGCAUGGCUGUCGUCAGCUCGUGUUGUGAAAUGUUGGGUUAAGUCCCGCAACGAGCGCAACCCUUAUCCUUUGUUGCCAGCGGUUCGGCCGGGAACUCAAAGGAGACUGCCAGUGAUAAACUGGAGGAAGGUGGGGAUGACGUCAAGUCAUCAUGGCCCUUACGAGUAGGGCUACACACGUGCUACAAUGGCGCAUACAAAGAGAAGCGACCUCGCGAGAGCAAGCGGACCUCAUAAAGUGCGUCGUAGUCCGGAUUGGAGUCUGCAACUCGACUCCAUGAAGUCGGAAUCGCUAGUAAUCGUAGAUCAGAAUGCUACGGUGAAUACGUUCCCGGGCCUUGUACACACCCCCCGUCACACCAUGGGAGUGGGUUGCAAAAGAAGUAGGUAGCUUUACCUUCGGGAGAGCGCAUAAUAAAUAUCGAAUAAAAGCC
rnacentral:rRNA from 1 species